rnacentral:lncRNA from 1 species
GUCAGCUCAGCUUCUGCGCUGCAAGAGUCCUGAGUGCGGAGUGGCCCAGGGCGGCGUGUGUGGAGUGGCCCAGGGCGGCGUGUGUGGGGCGCCAGGUCUUCAGUCUGUAGGUUCUAGUCCGUCUCUGAUGACUAUCUUUGUUACACCUCUGAAGAGGGCACGUCCUCUCGAACUCUAUUAUGGCUGCUUCCUUCCAGGCCAAAUGCUUAGAAUUCCAUUCAUUGCGGGCCUCACAGCAGAAGCAACAGGGGUUUGCUGAGCUACUCAAGCAGACAAGAAUCUCCUGUUUGAGGUUCCUCAGAAGGUAAGCCACACCCCCUCAAAUAUCUUUCCCUGUCCCCUAGUUUUUAUUACCACUAGAAGAUUACAGUGAAUUCCAAGUAUCAGAACCACAUUUUAUUAGGAAAGAAAGGGAGUCACAUUUUUAAUCAGAGGAAGUUUGGUUGAAUCAUGUGGGUGUCGGUGAGGCCAAAGCAUUGAAGGGCCACCACAGGGGACAGAGGGGCUGGGGAUGAGG